rnacentral:rRNA from 1 species
CAAGUCGAACGGCAGCACGGACUUCGGUCUGGUGGCGAGUGGCGAACGGGUGAGUAAUGUAUCGGAACGUGCCUAGUAGCGGGGGAUAACUACGCGAAAGCGUAGCUAAUACCGCAUACGCCCUACGGGGGAAAGCAGGGGAUCGCAAGACCUUGCACUAUUAGAGCGGCCGAUAUCGGAUUAGCUAGUUGGUGGGGUAAUGGCUCACCAAGGCGACGAUCCGUAGCUGGUUUGAGAGGACGACCAGCCACACUGGGACUGAGACACGGCCCAGACUCCUACGGGAGGCAGCAGUGGGGAAUUUUGGACAAUGGGGGAAACCCUGAUCCAGCCAUCCCGCGUGUGCGAUGAAGGCCUUCGGGUUGUAAAGCACUUUUGGCAGGAAAGAAACGUCAUGGGUUAAUACCCCGUGAAACUGACGGUACCUGCAGAAUAAGCACCGGCUAACUACGUGCCAGCAGCCGCGGUAAUACGUAGGGUGCAAGCGUUAAUCGGAAUUACUGGGCGUAAAGCGUGCGCAGGCGGUUCGGAAAGAAAGAUGUGAAAUCCCAGAGCUUAACUUUGGAACUGCAUUUUUAACUACCGAGCUAGAGUGUGUCAGAGGGAGGUGGAAUUCCGCGUGUAGCAGUGAAAUGCGUAGAUAUGCGGAGGAACACCGAUGGCGAAGGCAGCCUCCUGGGAUAACACUGACGCUCA